rnacentral:lncRNA from 1 species
GCGGUGGUGGACGGUUUGGCGCGCGAGGUGUAGAGGGGACUCUCUUCCUCCCGAAGAGUGUCCACGGGCGCUCAGUGCGUCCUCACGCACUUUCCUGCUCCAAAAAUUUGGCUAAAGUUUUGUUGGAAAGUAGCAUCCAGAUGUGGGAGAUUGUGAAAAGUCGUGCGUAGAUUUAGGAACUAGAUCCAGAAAAAAGACGAUUACUCAGGGUGGUCAACUGAAGGUGAAGUGCUGAGUCAGCCAGUCCCCUCGUCUGUGUGAUGUGCGUACAGCCAGCUUAUUUACUCGGGAGGACAGAGGGAAAAAAUAACAGGAAACCAACCCACAUCAAACAAUGAAGAUGAAUAUCAAUAUUUGUUCCUUUCCGGAUAAGAGGAGUUAUGCACAGUAUUACGUCAUCAUAGCAGCACUUGAAAGAAUCAAAGUUGCUUUGAGCUUGAAGAAUUUCCAGUACGGCAAUUUGGCUGUUGUCAUCUAAAUGAAGUAAAGUGAAAAUACAGCCUUUUAACAGAAAUGUUGCCAAAUUGCCGUCUAUACAGGAUGAACCACCUUACACUCCUACUGGUAAAAAUAAGCUGCAUGACAGAGGGACUUCUCUUUCCUGUCCACUCCACUCUGAGGACACGCCUGGCGGACGGUAAACCAGCAGCGCUCUCUGGAUGACGAAUGAGUAAGCUUCUUAGAGCUUUCUAGCCCAUCGGUGACUCUGACUCAGGGCCUGAGGGAGUGGUUCCAGCCCUCAGUCUGCAUCCGUGAAAUGAGGAGAAGCGCAUGUGCUGAGAGUCAGGAAGGAGAAGUGACAGGUGCUCUGGGGGGCUGGCCUAGCUUUUUGGUUCGGUUUGGUUUUAACCAGAAUUUAGAGGAAGCAACCAGACGGUGAGUUCUCCUGGGUGACUUACUGCUGCAUCUGCAGGAGCUGGGCUAGCCCGACACACCGCAGUGGCCAACAAAUUUGCUGGAUAAAUGAAUGGAA